rnacentral:rRNA from 1 species
GAUGAACGCUAGCGGCAGGCUUAACACAUGCAAGUCGAGGGGUAUAGUUCUUCGGAAUUAGAGACCGGCGCACGGGUGCGUAACGCGUAUGCAAUCUACCUUUCACAAAGGGAUAGCCCCAGAGAAAUUUGGAUUAAUACCUUAUAGUAAUACGACUUGGCAUGAUUUGAUUAUUAAAGUUCCAACGGUAAAAGAUGAGCAUGCGUCCCAUUAGCUAGUUGGUAAGGUAACGGCUUACCAAGGCUACGAUGGGUAGGGGUCCUGAGAGGGAGAUCCCCCACACUGGUACUGAGACACGGACCAGACUCCUACGGGAGGCAGCAGUGAGGAAUAUUGGACAAUGGGCGCAAGCCUGAUCCAGCCAUGCCGCGUGCAGGAUGACGGUCCUAUGGAUUGUAAACUGCUUUUAUACAGGAAGAAACACUCCGACGUGUCGGAGCUUGACGGUACUGUAAGAAUAAGGAUCGGCUAACUCCGUGCCAGCAGCCGC